CUUCGACUAAGGUUCGAUUCGAGCGAAAGCGAGAAAGCGUUGCCGCAGGCAACGACCCGAAGGGCGAAACGCGCAGCGCUGAGUCAUCCUUCCCCCACCACCA
rnacentral:sRNA from 1 species